rnacentral:rRNA from 1 species
UACGGGGGGAGCAAGCGUUGUUCGGAAUCACUGGGCGUAAAGCGCGUGUAGGCGGAUCGCUAAGUCUGUGGUGAAAGCGCCUGGCUUAACCGGGCGAGGUCCAUGGAAACUAGCGGUCUGGAGGCCGGUAGAGGGGGGUGGAAUUCCGGGUGUAGUGGUGAAAUGCGUAGAGAUCCGGAGGAACACCAGUGGCGAAGGCGGCCCCCUGGGCCGCGCCUGACGCUGAGACGCGAAAGCGUGGGGAGCGAACAGG